GCUGCGCAUGUGAAGCUCGCGUGCUCGGCGACCCGUCUCUUUUGGGUGUAGCCCGUUUUUUGGGGUGGGGGCUCCCGGCGUUCUCUUGUGUUUCAUCUGCAUUUCGACACGGUACUGCUGCACUACUGAACUACAGCAACCUGAUGGCAUCCGGUGGAGCUUCGCACGGCAAUGACUGCUGCUUACCUGGUGCCUCAACUUUGGAUGAAUGCAGAAGCCCGGAACGAGCAUUUAUAUAGAGCAAAAUAAACAUUUCAUCAUUUCAGAAGACGUCUCGCGUUUUCUUUAUGAAAUUGCGCCUGACAGAUUCGGCGGAGCCUUGUAAAGGUCGUUCGCAAUCAUUUUUACUAAAUAAUGAAACGAUUCCAAGCCAAGGGCACGCGGGGUUUAGCAGAAGCAAAAAAAAAAAAAAAAUGCCGC